UGUGGGAGCGGGCUUGCUCGCGAUGCAGGCAAUGCGGUUUUUCAGAUCAACCGUGGCGAUGCCAUCGCGAGCAAGCCCGCUCCCACA
rnacentral:antisense_RNA from 1 species